rnacentral:rRNA from 1 species
UACGUAGGGGGCUAGCGUUGUCCGGAAUCAUUGGGCGUAAAGAGCGUGUAGGCGGCCCGGUAAGUCCGCUGUGAAAGUCGGGGGCUCAACCCUCGAAUGCCGGUGGAUACUGUCGGGCUAGAGUGCGGAAGAGGCGAGUGGAAUCCUGGUGUAGCGGUGAAAUGCGCAGAUAUCAGGAGGAACACCGAUUGCGAAGGCAGCUCGCUGGGACGUAACUGACGCUGGAGACGCGAAAGCGUGGGGAGCAAACAGG